ACAACAACAUUCGGACCGUCUGUCUACCGACCAAUAUCACCCGGUAGGUGGAAGAUCUUUCCUCUGUCGUUAAGC
rnacentral:pre_miRNA from 1 species